CCUCCUACGGGAGGCAGCAGUAGGGAAUCUUCCACAAUGGACGAAACCCUGAUGCAGCGACGCCGCGUGAGCGAUGAAGUAUUUCGGUAUGUAAAGCUCUAUCAGCAGGGAAGAAAAUGACGGUACCUGACUAAGAAGCCCCGGCUAACUACGUGCCAGCAGCCGCGGUAAUACGUAGGGGGCAAGCGUUAUCCGGAUUUACUGGGUGUAAAGGGAGCGUAGACGGCUGUGCAAGCCAGAUGUGAAAGCCCGGGGCUCAACCCCGGGACUGCAUUUGGAACUGCGUGGCUUGGG
rnacentral:rRNA from 1 species